rnacentral:rRNA from 1 species
UACGGAGGGUGCAAGCGUUAAUCGGAAUUACUGGGCGUAAAGCGCACGCAGGCGGUUUGUUAAGUCAGAUGUGAAAUCCCCGCGCUUAACGUGGGAACUGCAUUUGAAACUGGCAAGCUAGAGUCUCGUAGAGGGGGGUAGAAUUCCAGGUGUAGCGGUGAAAUGCGUAGAGAUCUGGAGGAAUACCGGUGGCGAAGGCGGCCCCCUGGACGAAGACUGACGCUCAGGUGCGAAAGCGUGGGGAGCAAACAGG